rnacentral:tRNA from 1 species
AAGGAUUUAAGUUAAAUUCAAACUUGGAACCUUCAAAGUUCCCAAUAAAGACAUAUUCUUUAAGCCUUA